CUACCCGGGUUUCUAAUCCUGUUUGCUCCCCACGCUUUCGCGUCUCAGCGUCAGUAACGUCCCAGCGAGCUGCCUUCGCCAUAGGUGUUCCUCCCGAUAUCUGCGCAUUUCACCGCUACACCGGGAAUUCCACUCGCCUCUUCCGAACUCUAGUCCGGCAGUAUCGACCGGCAUCCCAGGGUUGAGCCCUGGACUUUCACAGCCGACUUACCGGACCGCCUACACGCUCUUUACGCCCAAUAAUUCCGGACAACGCUUGCCCCCUACGUAUUACCGCGGCUGCUGGCAC
rnacentral:rRNA from 1 species